rnacentral:rRNA from 1 species
UACGUAGGGACCAAGCGUUGUUCGGAUUUACUGGGCGUAAAGGGCGCGUAGGCGGCCUAGCAAGUCACUUGUGAAAUCUCCGGGCUUAACUCGGAACUGCCAAGUGAAACUGCUGGGCUAGAGUGCAGAAGGGGCAAUCGGAAUUCUUGGUGUAGCGGUGAAAUGCGUAGAUAUCAAGAGGAACACCUGAGGUGAAGACGGGUUGCUGGGCCAACACUGACGCUGAGACGCGGAAGCUAGGGGAGCAAACGGG